rnacentral:rRNA from 1 species
CUAACAAGGAUUCCCCUAGUAACUGCGAGUGAAGCGGGAAAAGCUCAAAUUUAAAAUCUGGCAGUUUCACUGUCCGAGUUGUAAUCUGGAGAAGCAUUUUCCGUGCUGGACUGUAUACAAGUCUCUUGGAACAGAGCGUCAUAGAGGGUGAGAAUCCCGUCUUUGAUACAGACUACCAGUACUUUGUGAUAUGCUCUCAAAGAGUCGAGUUGUUUGGGAAUGCAGCUCAAAAUGGGUGGUAAAUUCCAUCUAAAGCUAAAUACAGGCGAGAGACCGAUAGCGAACAAGUACCGUGAGGGAAAGAUGAAAAGCACUUUGGAAAGAGAGUUAAACAGUACGUGAAAUUGUUGAAAGGGAAACGCUUGAAGUCAGUCGCGUCUAUUGGGAUUCAGCCUUGCUUCUGCUUGGUGUACUUCCUAAUGGAUGGGUCAACAUCGAUUUUGACCGGUGGAUAAAGGCAAAGGGAAUGUGGCACCUCCGGGUGUGUUAUAGCCUUCUGUCAUAUGCAUUGGUUGGGAUCGAGGAUCGCAGCAUGCCUUUUUGGCCGGGGGUAAACCCACGUACCAUGCUUAGGAUGUUGACAUAAUGGCUUUAAUCGACCCGUCUUGAAACACGGACCAAGGAGUCUAACAUGCCCGCGAGUGUUAGGGUGGUAAACCCUUGCGCGUAAUGAAAGUGAAAGUUGGGACCUCUGUCAUGGAGGGCACCGACGCCCGGCCUUGAACUUCUGUGACGGAGCCGCGGUAGAGCGUGUAUGUUGGGACCCGAAAGAUGGUGAACUAUGCCUGAAUAGGGCGAAGCCAGAGGAAACUCUGGUGGAGGCUCGUAGCGAUUCUGACGUGCAAAUCGAUCGUCAAAUUUGGGUAUAGGGGCGAAAGACUAAUCGAACCAUCU